rnacentral:rRNA from 1 species
AGACCCGAAACCCGGUGAUCUAGCCAUGGGCAGGUUGAAGGUUGGGUAACACUAACUGGAGGACCGAACCGACUAAUGUUGAAAAAUUAGCGGAUGACCUGUGGCUGGGGGUGAAAGGCCAAUCAAACCGGGAGAUAGCUGGUUCUCCCCGAAAGCUAUUUAGGUAGCGCCUCGUGAAUUCAUCUCCGGGGGUAGAGCACUGUUUCGGCCAGGGGGCCAUCCCGGCUUACCAAUCCGAUGCAAACUGCGAAUACCGGAGAAUGUUAUCACGGGAGACACACGGCGGGUGCUAACGUCCGUCGUGAAGAGGGAAACAACCCAGACCGCCAGCUAAGGUCCCAAAGUCAUGGUUAAGUGGGAAACGAUGUGGGAAGGCCCAGACAGCCAGGAUGUUGGCUUAGAAGCAGCCAUCAUUUAAAGAAAGCGUAAUAGCUCACUGGUCGAGUCGGCCUGCGCGGAAGAUGUAACGGGGCUAAACCAUGCACCGAAGCUGCGGCAGCGACACUGAUGUGUUGUUGGGUAGGGGAGCGUUCUGUAAGCCGUUGAAGGUGGCCUGUGAGGGUUGCUGGAGGUAUCAGAAGUGCGAAUGCUGACAUAAGUAACGAUAAAGCGGGUGAAAAGCCCGCUCGCCGGAAGACCAAGGGUUCCUGUCCAACGUUAAUCGGGGCAGGGUGAGUCGACCCCUAAGGCGAGGCCGAAAGGCGUAGUCGAUGGGAAACGGGUUAAUAUUCCCGUACUUGGUGUUACUGCGAAGGGGGGACGGAGAAGGCUAUGUUGGCCGGGCGACGGUUGUCCCGGUUUAAGCGUGUAGGUGUGUGUUCCAGGUAAAUCCGGUUCACUUUAACACUGAGGCGUGAUGACGAGGCACCACGGUGCUGAAGCAACAAAUGCCCUGCUUCCAGGAAAAGCCUCUAAGCCUCAGGUAACAUCAAAUCGUACCCCAAACCGACACAGGUGGUCAGGUAGAGAAUACCAAGGCGCUUGAGAGAACUCGGGUGAAGGAACUAGGCAAAAUGGUGCCGUAACUUCGGGAGAAGGCACGCUGACACGUAGGUGAAGUGGUUUACCCAUGGAGCUGAAGUCAGUCGAAGAUACCAGCUGGCUGCAACUGUUUAUUAAAAACACAGCACUGUGCAAACACGAAAGUGGACGUAUACGGUGUGACGCCUGCCCGGUGCCGGAAGGUUAAUUGAUGGGGUCAGCGCAAGCGAAGCUCCUGAUCGAAGCCCCGGUAAACGGCGGCCGUAACUAUAACGGUCCUAAGGUAGCGAAAUUCCUUGUCGGGUAAGUUCCGACCUGCACGAAUGGCGUAAUGAUGGCCAGGCUGUCUCCACCCGGGACUCAGUGAAAUUGAACUCGCUGUGAAGAUGCAGUGUACCCGCGGCAAGACGGAAAGACCCCGUGAACCUUUACUAUAGCUUGACACUGAACACUGGUCCUUGAUGUGCAGGAUAGGUGGGAGGCUUUGAAGUGUGGACGCCAGUCUGCAUGGAGCCAUCCUUGAAAUACCACCCUUUAAUGGCUGGUGUUCUAACGUGGGCCCGUGAACCGGGUUGCGGACAGUGUCUGGUGGGUAGUUUGACUGGGGCGGUCUCCUCCUAAAGAGUAACGGAGGAGCACGAAGGUUGGCUAAUCCUGGUCGGACAUCAGGAGGUUAGUGCAAUGGCAUAAGCCAGCUUGACUGCGAGCGUGACGGCGCGAGCAGGUGCGAAAGCAGGUCAUAGUGAUCCGGUGGUUCUGAAUGGAAGGGCCAUCGCUCAACGGAUAAAAGGUACUCCGGGGAUAACAGGCUGAUACCGCCCAAGAGUUCAUAUCGACGGCGGUGUUUGGCACCUCGAUGUCGGCUCAUCACAUCCUGGGGCUGAAGUAGGUCCCAAGGGUAUGGCUGUUCGCCAUUUAAAGUGGUACGCGAGCUGGGUUUAGAACGUCGUGAGACAGUUCGGUCCCUAUCUGCCGUGGGCGCUGGAAGAUUGAGGGGGGCUGCUCCUAGUACGAGAGGACCGGAGUGGACGCAUCACUGGUGUUCGGGUUGUCAUGCCAAUGGCACUGCCCGGUAGCUACAUGCGGAAGAGAUAAGUGCUGAAAGCAUCUAAGCACGAAACUUGCCCCGAGAUGAAUCUUCCCUGAGCCUUUAAGGCUCCUGAAGGAACGUUGAAGACGACGACGUUGAUAGGCCGGGUGUGUAAGCGCAGCGAUGCGUUGAGCUAACCGGUACUAAUGAACCGUGAGGCUUAACCUU